UACAGAGGGUGCGAGCGUUAAUCGGAUUUACUGGGCGUAAAGGGCGCGUAGGCGGUUAGUUAAGAUAGAUGUGAAAUCCCUGGGCUUAACCUAGGAACUGCAUCUAUAACUGGCUAGCUAGAGUACUGUAGAGGGUAGUGGAAUUUCCGGUGUAGCGGUGAAAUGCGUAGAGAUCAUGAGGAAGACCAGUGGCGAAGGCGGGUCUCUGGACAGUUCCUGACACUGAGGCACGAAGGCCAGGGGAGCAAACGGG
rnacentral:rRNA from 1 species